ensembl:lncRNA
GAACAUUCCUGGACGAGCAGGACAAGCCAGAACUUCCUCCUGAGGGUGUGUUCUGAGUGCCCGCUGGGUUGGUGCCUCCUGUUCUCCUGGGUCCCUGCCUUAAAGGGUCCAUGGGUUCAAACCUGAAUGCUGCACACCUCGGUCUAAAGAAAUUAAGUUCAAAGUUUAUAUGGAGUACAUGUUUGGAUGAAAACGAAACCACAGAGGACUUCCCUAGCAGUCUAGUGGUUAAGACUUGAUGCUUCCAAUGCAGGGGGCCUGGACUCAAUCCCUGGUUUGGGUACAAGGAUCCCACGUGCCAUGGGGUGUGGCAAAAAAAAAAAAAAAGAGAGAGAUUACAGAAAGCAAAGCCACAGAAAUGCACAAUAAUGAACUGCUUCUGUUCAAGAAAUGAAAAUCAGAUUGCACAAAAAUGAGCAUAAGCUUGAUGUCCACGCACAAAUAGAGCAACAGGUAGAUUUCUGCUUGGCUUUAUCAUUGUCCUUUUUAUUAAGAAUCAUGCAAGGACUCUAUUUCUUAUUUUAUCUUACUACAAUGUUGUUAAGGGAUCUAUUUUUGAGCAACAUUCUUUGUACAAGACCUUUCCAAGACCAGCUGGGCUCUCCCGACAGUUACUCUUCAUCACCUGAGCUGGACUCAAGCCCCCAGGGAGGGUCAGUGUGUUCAGUUUUACUUCUUCAGGUCACAGAAAAGUGGUCCAGACUCAUCAUGGUUUCAACCCCCGAGGAAAGUGAGGAUUUUAAAAAGGCUAUCAUCUCAGGAAUGUCCUGCAAAUUCUAUCACCAAAGACAGAACAACAGUCAAUCAAUUCUACAAACUAACUGUACUUUGCUGUUGUUUAGUUGCUCAGUCGUGUCCGACUCUUUGUGACCCCCUGGACUGUAGCCAGCCAAGCUUCUCCAUCCAUGGGAUUUCCCGGGCAAGAACAGUGGAGUGGGCUGCCAUUUCAUUCUCCAGGGGAUCUUCCUGACCCAGGGAUGGAAACUGCAUCUCUUGCAUCUCCUGAAUUGGCAGGCGAUUCUUUCCUGCUGAGUACUUAAGUCAGGUUUAAUUGAAGUAAAACGAUUCAGAAUUGUUAAUUCACUAGAUACAGCCCUUGUCAGGAAGACCCUUAACUAGAAUAUGCAAAAUAAUACUUGGGUUUACAGUCAAAAGUAUUUGGAACCCUUGAAGAGAAUAUAGGCAAAACAUUCUCUGACAUAAAUUGUACCAAUGUUUUCUUAAGUCAGUCUCACAAAACAAUAGAGAUAAAACAAAAAUAAACAAAUGGGACCCCUUCAAACUUACAAGCUUUUGUACAGCAAAGUAAACCAUAAGCAAAAUGAAAAGACAACCCACAGACUAGGAGAAAAUAUUUGCAAACUAUGUGACCAAAAAGGGCUUAAUUUCCAAAAUACACAAAUAGUUCAUACAACUCAACAUCAAAAAAAAAAAAACUAAUCAAAAAUAGGCAGAAGACCUAAACAGACAUUUCUCCAAAGGAGACAUACAGAUGGCCAAUAAGCACAUGAAAAGAUGCUCAACAUGCCUAAUUAUUAGAAAAAUGUAAAUCAGAACUACGUGGAAAUAUCACCUCACAUCAGUCAGAAUGGCCAUCAUGAAGAAGUCUACAAACAAUAAAUCCUGGAGAGAGUGUGUAGAAAAGGGAACCCUCCUACAAUGUUGGUGAGAAUGUAAGUUGGUGCAACCAUUAUGGUGAAUAGCAUGGAGGUUCCUUAAAAAACUAGAAAUAGAGUUACCAUAUGAUCCUGCAUUUCCACUCCCGGGCGUAUCCAGACGAAACUAAUCCCAAAAGAUACAUACUUCCCUAUUUUCACAGCAAUGCUAUUCACAAUAGCCCAGACGUGGAAGCAACCUAAAUGUCUAUCGACAGAUGAAUGGGUAAAGAAGAUGUGGUGUAUAUAGUAUAUAUACCAUGAAGCAUUAGUGAAGUGAGUGAAGUCGCUCAGUCAUGUCCGACUCUUUGCGACCCUAUGGACUGUAGCCCACCAGGAUCCAACCCCAUGGGAUUCUUCAAGCAAGAGUACUGGAGUGGGUUGCCAUUUCCUUCUCCAGGGGAUCUUCCCGACUCAGGGAUCGAACCCAGGUCUCCUGCAUUCCAGACAGACGCUUUAACCCCUGAGCCAUCAGGGAAGCCCAUGGAGCAUUACUCAGUCAUAAGAAAGAACCAAAUGACGCCAUUUGUAGCAACAUGGAUGGAUCUCGAGAUUAUCCAUUAAGUGAAAUUAAGUCAGGAAGAGAAAUACGAAUAUCAGAUCGUACCAUUCAUAUGCGGAACCUAAAUUAUGACACAAAUAAACCUGCCUAUGAAACAGAAUCACGGGGAACAGACUGGUGGUUGCCAAAGGGCAGGAGGUCGGGCAAAGGUUGGAGGGGGAGGUUGAGGUUAGCAGAUGCAAGCUUUAUAAACACGAGGGACAACAACAAGGCCCCAC